AGCAAUACAUGGGCGGCGACCGGCAAACGGGUGCGGAACACGUACACAACCUUCCUUUUAGUGGAGCAUAGCCCAGGGAAACUUGGAUUAAUACUCCGUAAUAUAAUGAGAUGGCAUCAUUUUGUUAUUAUAGAAGCAAUUCGCUAGAAGACGGGUGUGCGGCUGAUUAGAUAGUUGGCGGGGUAACGGCCCACCAAGUCCACGAUCAGUAACUGGUGUGAGAGCACGACCAGUCACACGGGCACUGAGACACGGGCCCGACUCCUACGGGAGGCAGCAGUAAGGAAUAUUGGUCAAUGGACGCAAGUCUGAACCAGCCAUGCCGCGUGGAGGAUGAAGGCCCUCUGGGUUGUAAACUUCUUUUAUAGGGGGACGAAAAAGGGUCUUUCCAGAUCAACUGACGGUACCCUAGGAAUAAGCACCGGGCUAACUCCGUGCCAGCAGCCGCGGUAAUACGGAGGGGUGCAAGCGUUAUCCGGAUUCACUGGGUUUAAAGGGUGCGUAGGUGGGUUAGUAAGUCAGUGGGUGAAAUCUUCGAGCUUAACUCGGAAACUGCCAUUGAUACUAUUAGUCUUGAAUAUUGUGGAGGUUAGCGGAAUAUGUCAUGUAGCGGUGAAAUGCUUAGAUAUGACAUAGAACACCAAUUGCGAAAGCAGCUGGCUACACAUAUAUUGACACUGAGGCACGAAGGCGUGGGGAUCAAACAGGAUUAGAUACCCUGGUAGUUCCACGGCCCU
rnacentral:rRNA from 1 species